GUCCAGGUCUGGAGCCCCCAGUACAAAAAAGACAGGGAGCUGUUGGAGAGGGUCCAGAGGAGCCACAAGAUGAUCAGGGGGCUGCAGCACCUCCACUACAAAGACAGGCUGAGGGAGCUGGGCUUGUUCAGCAUGGAGAAGAGAAGGCUGCGGGGUGACCUCAUUGCAGCCUUCAGUACCUAAAGGGAGCCUACAAACAGGAGGGGAGUCAACUCUUUGAAAGGGUGAGUGACAGCAGGACAAGGGGAAAUGGUUUUAAGCUGAGGGAAGGGAGGUUGAGGUUGGACGUCAGGGGGAAAUUCUUUACAGAGAGAGUGGUGAGGUGCUGGAACAGCUGCCCAGGGAGGUUGUGGAUGCCCCGUCCCUGGAGGUGUUCAAGCCCAGAUUGGAUGGGGCCCUGGGCAGUCUGAUCUAGUAUUAGGUCGGAUGGCUGGUGGCCCUGCGUGUGGCAGGGGGGUUGGAGAUUCAUGAUCCUUGAGGUCUCUUUCAACCCUGGCAAUUCUGUGAUUCUGUGAUUCAUGCAUCAUGCUUUAUUUGCAGCAACUCGAAUUCAUUGUCAGUUUGGAAAGUGAAACUGGACAAAUGCACAGAAAGGGGGAAGUCCCUGCCCACCAGGCAGCUGUUAGAAGUGGGGUGGGUGACCUGGAGAAUGGCAGCAGUUGAUCUCUUCCUUAGGUUUCCCUUUUGACUUCUGUCUGAAAUGGGAGAUGGCACUACAUGAGCUGCUGCUCCGAAACAGUGCGUUCUUUCCUGUACUCCUUAUGUUUCUGCAGAUAAGAGCAAGCCUCUGCUCUGUGAGAAGAGACAGAUUCACUCCUAUCAUGUUCCUGAAACAAAAGGCUGUUCUGCACUAUCCAAUUACGGACCUUAAUUUCAAUUAAAGCCGCAACAAAACAAAAUGCUGUUUACCUUCGAAAUAACAUGAAAGUUUAAUAAUAGCUGUAUAUUGACUAUUAGCCCCAGGCAUAGCCUGAAUCGUUUACUGAGGCAACCAAUCUCUUGGGGAAAUUUAAGCAGGUUUUGGCACAGCUUCCUACAUCUUUCCAGAGCAGUCUGAGUCUUGGUGGUCAUGGUGUGUCCUCCAGCACCUCCCUGCAGUAGCAGUAAUGACAGAGAGAUGUCCCCACUGAUGAUACACAAUCAAUCAUGCCUGGGGACCAGCGGUGUGCUCUGAGCACGGCAGUCAUAGAAUCACACAAUUGUUGAGGUUGGAAAAGACCUCCAAGACCCCCAGCCCACCCUACCAUGCCCACUGC
rnacentral:lncRNA from 1 species